rnacentral:lncRNA from 1 species
CUCCUUUUGGCCUUCCUUCGAGGCCUCUCCUGCCUCCCUCUGCUCCACCGCAUGGGCCGGGGACAUUCUUCAGGACCUCACCUCCCUGCAGGACAGGCCUUCCUGAAGCUCUCGGGUAAAUAUUUACACCUUGAGGGUGUCCUGGGGAAUGCUGUUACCCUCCUUUAAGCGAGCAGCUUUCACCAAAGGCAAAAGGGUUCCCUGAACCUCUCCCUUCCUCCCCCUCCUCUCUACCGCCUUGGCCUAGAGCAGGGAGCCGGCCAGCAGGAGCCGAGGGAUCUCAUUAGCUGCCUGUGCGAGGCUGUGGGGCCUACGAGGUCCCAUUCCCGUCCACGCAGUCCUCAUAAGGACCUUAAGGCAUUGGUGCUACGACUCCUUCUGAGCUCAGAGAAGCUGGACAACUUGGCCAAAGCAGCACAGCUAGUCAUGACAGAGACAUAACUUGAACUCAGGUCUGCUGGUGGCACUUGAAUGGAUGUUCUUUCUUUGGAAACCAGGUGGGGGCCCGCUUCAGAGAGAGGCCGGACAGACCGCGGCUGCCCGCAGGACAGUGAGACUGAGGAAGCGUGCACAAUUCAUGAGCGGGUAUUGGGUGGAUAAGGAGACACCCGUCAGAGGCUCUGGGUUCUUCUAUCAGCGUGGGCAGUCUGCCCACCCCUCUCAUAUUCCGGAGGGGAGCACUAGCCACUCUCCCCGGACGGCGCCUCAUUCCGGGGCUUCGGAUGUGGGAGGGAGAGGACAUGCUAGCGGAUCUGGGGAGCUGGGGCUCCCCAGGAAUCUGGUCUCAUAGGAGAGUUUACCCAGUGGCAGCCACAAGCCCUCUGCUGUCAGAAACCAUGGCCCAGGGAGGGGAGCCAGGCCAAGGAAGGCCCAGUAAUUCUCACUCUAAGCAAAGUAUGUCAACCCUGCCGUUUCCUUGUGACCCUGUAAUCCGAUUGUAGAUGCAUCGGACUCCUUUGAGCAAUACGUAUACAAGAGGGGGGUUCAGGUACUCCUUUGGAGCGUGGAAAAUUGGAGUCAGGAAGCCAAAAUGGGAGCACUGUGCCCUCGUCUUGUUCUGUGACUUGGGGGCAGCGAGCCCCCUGUCUCUAAACCUCCGUUUCCUGGUCUGUACAGUGGGGGAGAAAGUAAUGUAACCCGUGGGUAACUGUGUUCCACGUGGUCCAGUCUUGGCUUGGCGACACAUGGAAAGAAUCACAGACUCGCAACCAGGGCGUAAUACAAAGAACUUUAAAUCUUUGCUUUGGCCUUUCUAGGAGAUCCCAAAGUGGGCAGCAGGACUGGGGCCGGAGAGAAGUUUAUUCCUAAUUCAUAGCGAUACUGAGAAGCCCCCCACCCCCACGGUGUCUCAGUAUUCUCCACACACACAGCAGUGGUUUCUUCCCCCACUACUCCCGUCCAGACUCCCCCACACACAGAGCCCAAGCCGCCUAUCAGCAUUUCUCCACCUGGAUUCUAACAUGUUGAUCCAAUAAGUUUCUCCCUUAGGCUUCUUCUCACACCGGGGAGGGUGGGAAGCUGACUGGACCCUCAGAGAACCCCAGGGACCUGGGGGAAGACAAGGAGGGCCCCACAUGCAUGCUGACUUGUCCCUGCUCCUUGUCACAGGCCACGGUGCUAGAGCUGAUAUUUAUGGCGUGGGCACCAGGCACCGUGCAAAUCGAACUCACAACGGCCCUGGGGGGGGGGUGGGGUGGACUGUGAAGGCCCCCGGGGCACGACUGAGGAGUCUGAGACCCUGGGAGGUCACCUUGUCCAAGACCUCACAACUGUAGGUUAGAAGGGCCAAGUUUCAAGGUCAGGCCUUUGGACUGCAGAGCCCAUACUGGUAAGCAUCCUGCCGGGCUGGUAGUUGCCUUCUCAAGGGUAUGGACCACUGAGUCCCACGAAGGGCCCACGAAAGCGUGUUCGGAGGCUUGGACAGCGCUGGGCACACGGAGCGCAAUGAAACUUGACUCACUGACUGCCUAACCAGCCAACCGAGGGAGGUACUUUAUAAAACAUGGCGUGCUUUUUUGGGUGACAUCUUUGAAAAGCCAAACUUUUCUAUGCAAUGUUUUUGACCUUCAAGUGGAGGGACCCAUAGGUAAGGCGUGGGCUCCGAUCUGAUGGGGAAGGCCUGGGUGCCAACCUCUUCAUCUGCACGGAGUUCCCGCAGGUGCUGAGCCCGGCUGCGCACCCCCAGGGGUGCCUCCCCCCAUUAUCUGCAGAAGGCAGACACGUCAGGAGGGCCCCCCCGGGCUCUGAGACCACACGAGGGAGUCCUGUGAGGAGUCCCGACAAGCCUUCUUUGAAGCUGUGUGACUUGGGACAAGUUCCUUAACCUUUCUGAGCCUGCAUUUUGUCUUCUGGAUGUUCGUGCUACCUUGCAAAGUCAUUGCAAGGUUAGGAGCUCCUGAUACAAAAUGUCUAAAACUGGCCGAGGACGAGGACGUGGACGUGGUGGGCAUCUGAGUAAGCCAGGCUUUCUCAGGCUCAGCACUACUGACAUUUGAGGCUGGAUAAUUCUGAUUUUUGUGGGGCCGUCCUGUGCACUGUGGGGUAUUCGACAACAUCCCCGGCCUCUACUCCCUAGGUGCCAGGACCACCUUCCAGUAUGACCACCAAAAAUGUCUCCAGACCUUGACAGAUGUCCCUCAACCCUGUUCGAGAGCCACUGGAACAAUCAAAGCUAUUUUUUCCCUUAAUUUGAAGAUCUAAUUGGCUUUAUUAAACAAUUCAUGAAUCAGGCAGCCUCCCAUCCAGCAAGGAGAGGGGAGCUCUUGGAAUAAUUGUAGCUAUUGUUAUAAAAAAUAAGAAUGUUUUUUUAAUUUUUCAUUUAUUAUUAUUUUUGAAG